GCGUUGUUCGGAUUCAUUGGGCGUAAAAGGUGCGUAGGUGGCGCCGUAAGUGGGGUGUGAAAUUCCGGAGCUUAACUCCGAAACUGCAUUCCAUACUGCGGUGCUUGAGGACUGGAGAGGAGACUGGAAUUUACGGUGUAGCAGUGAAAUGCGUAGAGAUCGUAAGGAAGACCAGUGGCGAAGGCGGGUCUCUGGACAGUUCCUGACACUGAGGCACGAAGGCUAG
rnacentral:rRNA from 1 species